UUUGUAGCUGGGAAUUGAACCCGUGCUCCCCUUAUAAUAGCUAAUCUCUUUACCAUUUGGCUACAUGUUCAUUCUGUUUAUAUUGCUCCAUUAAUAAUAUAUAUGAUCGCUGCAUGCAAAUUUGGAGUAAAAUGAUACAGCAAAAUACAUUCAGGGACUCGAACACAGGUUCUUUGCAAAAUAAGGUUAGUUUCCUGACCACUGGAACAUGUAACAAUAUUUGGUAAAUUGUUGUCUUAUUUAAUUUUUAUAUUAUAAAUAUUCCGUUUUCUGAUUAAUUAAGUAAUUAUGCUUUACUAUUUUGGAAUGAG
rnacentral:lncRNA from 1 species